AUUGAACGCUGGCGGCAGGCCUAACACAUGCAAGUCGAACGAGUGGCGGACGGGUGAGUAAUGUCUGGGAAACUGCCUGCUGGAGGGGGAUCACUACUGGAAACGGUAUCUUAUACCGCCUUCUAUAAGAUGAGCCCAGAUGUGAUUAGCGAGUUGGUGGGGUAACGGCUCACAAAGGCGACGAUCCCUAGCUGGUCUGAGAGGAUGACCAGCCAAACUGGAACUGAGACACGGUCCAGACUCCUACGGGAGGCAGCAGUGGGGAAUAUUGCACAAUGGGCGCAAGCCUGAGGCAGCCAUGCCGCGUGUAUGAAGAAGGCCUUCGGGUUGUAAAGUACUUUAAGCGGGGAGGCGUUACCAGCAGAAGAAGCACCGGCUAACUCCGUGCCAGCAGCCGCGGUAAUUC
rnacentral:rRNA from 1 species